rnacentral:rRNA from 1 species
UGGGGAAUUUUGGACAAUGGGGGAAACCCUGAUCCAGCCAUCCCGCGUGUGCGAUGAAGGCCUUCGGGUUGUAAAGCACUUUUGGCAGGAAAGAAACGUCAUGGGUUAAUACCCCGUGAAACUGACGGUACCUGUAGAAUAAGCACCGGCUAACUACGUGUCAGCAGCCGCGGUAAUACGUAGGGUGCAAGCGUUAAUCGGAAUUACUGGGCGUAAAGCGUGCGCAGGCGGUUCGGAAAGAAAGAUGUGAAAUCCCAGGGCUCAACUUUGGAACUGCAUUGUUAACUACCAGGCUAGAGUGUGUCAGAGGGAGGGGGAAUUCCGCGUGUGACAGUGAAAUGCGUAGAUAUGCGGAGGAACCCCGAUGGAGAAGGCAGCCUCGUGGAAUAGCACUGAAGAUCAUGCACGAAAGCGUGGGGAGCAAACAGG